UAUAUUUAGAGUUUGAUCCUAGCUCAGGAUGAACGCUGGCGGCGUGGAUAAGGCAUGCAAGUCGAACGGAUUUUUCAAAAUCGGAGAUGCGAUUAUAUCAA
rnacentral:ncRNA from 1 species